rnacentral:rRNA from 1 species
AGUGAACGCUGGCGGCAGGCCUAACACAUGCAAGUCGAACGGCAGCGCAGCAGUAGCAAUACUGUGGGCGGCGAGUGGCGGACGGGUGAGGAAUACAUCGGAAUCUACCCUGUCGUGGGGGAUAACGUAGGGAAACUUACGCUAAUACCGCAUACGACCCACGGGUGAAAGCGGCGGACCGCAAGGCGUCGCGCGACUGGAUGAGCCGAUGUCCGAUUAGCUAGUUGGCGGGGUAAGAGCCCACCAAGGCGACGAUCCUUAGCUGGUCUGAGAGGAUGAUCAGCCACACUGGGACUGAGACACGGCCCAGACUCCUACGGGAGGCAGCAGUGGGGAAUAUUGGACAAUGGGCGAAAGCCUGAUCCAGCAAUGCCGCGUGAGUGAUGAAGGCCUUAGGGUUGUAAAGCUCUUUUGCCCGGGAUGAUAAUGACAGUACCGGGAGAAUAAGCUCCGGCUAACUCCGUGC